AUCAGAAACGGAUGAAAGAGAUACUUUGAAAAAUAUACUAAAUUUUUGCAUUGUUUUGGGUCAAAAUUACAGGGUAUUGGUCUUCAAUCUCACUGUUAGCAGUAGUUAAAGAGUAUCAAAGGUUUUUAUGCACUAUUUGGUAUACAAAAUGGUCUAAGGAAGCUGGCUUUGUUGUGCUGAUCUGCUGAAGUGCACUUUUCUUUUGCUACUGAUCCCUUCACUUUUCUUUUGCUCUAAUUUUCCCAGGUAUUUCUUGGACCUUAUUAACGUGUGAAGUGCAAAAAAUCUGAAGCCAUGUAAUCAAGAUGGAAUUCAAGACACAUGUUGUUUGUUGAAUGAUGUUCUAUGUCUUAAUAUCAUGCAAUUCUAUAGUAGCUUAGUCUCUUUGAUAUGCUUAUCUAAUCAGUGAUGAUUUUGGUUUGAAUCUUCCAUAUAAUCAAGAUGGAAUUCAAGACACAUGUUGUUUGUUGAAUGAUGUUCUAUGUCGUAAGGUCAUGCAAUUCUAUAGUAGCUUAGUCUCUUUGAUAUGUUGAUCUGUAAAUUUAUGAUUUUGGUUUGAAUCUUGCUUGUAAGUCUAGACAGAUACUCUAAUUUAGCUUACUUGUAUUGUAAAUCAUUUGAAGUUCUAUUUGUAUGCGUGGAAUGUUGGGUUUACUGCAGCAUGGGAUGAUUUAGAUGAGUAGAUUCUUCUUUUUCUUGAGAUUUUAAUUGAAUUGUUUCGAGCUAAUAGUGAUAAUCAGCUUACAAUGAGCUCUUCUCAUAGUCCUACUAUUUUAGAUGUUGGUUAAUAUCCAAAGAUAUUUAGGAACUACUAUUGUAUUUUCAUAUUUAGUUUGAAUGUUUAAAGUACUCUACGUUUAGAAUUACUAUGUGUAUGAAUUCAACAUCGAUUGAGUAGUAAUCCUUUAUUUUUGUAUGCAUGUAGUUUAUGUUAGCCUAUAGUGUUUUGUUCUGCAAUUUAGAGUUAAAUUAGAUGGGAAAUUUUUUUAUGUGGUUUUGAUGAGAUCAAUUAGUCCAAUGUAAAUUAAUAUUUGAUUAAUCCAACUAUAAUAGAUGCUGAAAUACUGGACCAUAUCACUUAGAACAGUCAGGCCCAUUAAAUGGCCCAAGACUGCCUGGCCUAAAUCAAGCUCAUGCGUCCCAGGCUUCUUUCCUUAAGGCCUAGCUCUUUUUUGAUUUCUUAAGUAAUUUGGCCAUCUUAUUUCAACA
rnacentral:lncRNA from 1 species